rnacentral:rRNA from 1 species
GACAGAGGGUGCAAACGUUGUUCGGAAUUACUGGGCGUAAAGGGCUCGUAGGCGGCCAACUAAGUCAGACGUGAAAUCCCCGGGCUCAACCCGGGAACUGCGUCCGAUACUGGCGGGCUUGAAUCCGGGAGAGGGAUGCGGAAUUCCAGGUGUAGCGGUGAAAUGCGUAGAUAUCUGGAGGAAUACCGGUGGCGAAGGCGGCAUCCUGGACCGGCAUUGACGCUGAUGAGCGAAAGCUAGGGGAGCAAACGGG